rnacentral:tRNA from 1 species
GGAGGUGUGGCUCAAGUUGUAGAGUGUUAGGCUUGAAUGAAAAACCUAAGGGACAGCCCCCAGACCCUGAGUUCAAGCCCCAGUACCACCA